AAAAUCACAAACAACACCACA
rnacentral:misc_RNA from 1 species